rnacentral:rRNA from 1 species
GCCUAUGGCCAUGCCACCCUGAACAAGCCUGAUCCUGUCUGAUCUCGGAAGCUAAGCAGGGUCGGGCCUGGUUAGAACUUGGAUGAGAGACCAUCUAGCAAGACCAGGUGCUACAGGAA